UGAGUUAGAAUAACUGGCCACA
rnacentral:misc_RNA from 1 species